UUGAGGAGUUAAUUUGCGUGUUUUUGUAUUUGAUUAAACACGUCCAUUAACUCUGGUACA
rnacentral:pre_miRNA from 1 species